UUGGCCUCAAAUCGAGUAGGACUACCCGCUGAACUUAAGCAUAUCAAUAAGCGGAGGAAAAGAAACUAACAAGGAUUCCCCUAGUAACGGCGAGUGAAGAGGGAAAAGCUCAAAUUUUGAAUCUGAUGCCUUUGGUAUCCGAAUUGUAAUCUAGAGAAGUGUUUUCUGUGAUGGACCGUGCACAAGUCUCCUGGAAUGGAGCGUCAUAGAGGGUGAGAAUCCCGUAUAUGGCACGGACUCCCAUUGCUCUACGAUACACUCUCGACGAGUCGAGUUGUUUGGGAAUGCAGCUCCAAAUGGGUGGUAAAUGCCAUCUAAAGCUAAAUAUUGGCGAGAGACCGAUAGCGAACAAGUACCGUGAGGGAAAGAUGAAAAGCACUUUGGAAAGAGAGUGAAACAGUACGUGAAAUUGUUGAAAGGGAA
rnacentral:rRNA from 2 species